rnacentral:rRNA from 1 species
CCUACGUGAGGCUGCAGUGGGGAAUAUUGCACAAUGGGGGAAACCCUGAUGCAGCGACGCCGCGUGAGUGAAGAAGUAAUUCGUUAUGUAAAGCUCUAUCAGCAGGGAAGUAAAUGACCGUACCUGAGUAAGAAGCCCCGGCUAACUACGUGCCAGCAGCCGCGGUAAUACGUAGGGGGCAAGCGUUAUCCGGAUUUACUGGGUGUAAAGGGAGCGUAGACGGCAUUGCAAGUCUGGAGUGAAAGGCGGGGGCUCAACCCCCGGAGUGCUCGGGAAACUGGACGGCUGGAGUGCAGGAGAGGUAAGUGGAAGUCCUAGUGGAGCGGUGAAAUGCGUAGAUAUUAGGAGGAACACCAGUGGCGAAGGCGGCUUACUGGAAUGUAACUGACGUUGAGGCUCGAAAGCGUGGGGAGCAAACAGGAUUAGAGACCCCAGUAGUC